rnacentral:piRNA from 1 species
UGGCAGGACAGUAGACUUUACCUAGUUC